CGUAAGCGAAGCUCUUGAUCGAAGCCCCAGUAAACGGCGGCCGUAACUAUAACGGUCCUAAGGUAGCGAAAUUCCUUGUCGGGUAAGUUCCGACCUGCACGAAUGGCAUAAUGAUGGCGGCGCUGUCUCCAGCAGAGGCUCAGUGAAAUCGAAAUCGCUGUGAAGAUGCAGUGUACCCGCGGCUAGACGGAAAGACCCCGUGAACCUUUACUGCAGCUUGACACUGAACUUUGACCUUACUUGUGUAGGAUAGGUGGGAGGCUUUGAAGCUGGAACGCUAGUUCCAGUGGAGCCGUCCUUGAAAUACCACCCUGGUAAUGUUGAGGUUCUAACUCUGUCCCGUGAUCCGGGACGAGGACCGUGUCUGGUGGGUAGUUUGACUGGGGCGGUCUCCUCCUAAAGAGUAACGGAGGAGUACGAAGGUGCGCUCAGCGUGGUCGGAAAUCACGCGUAGAGUAUAAAGGCAAAAGCGCGCUUAACUGCGAGACCCACAAGUCGAGCAGGUACGAAAGUAGGUCUUAGUGAUCCGGUGGUUCUGUAUGGAAGGGCCAUCGCUCAACGGAUAAAAGGUACUCUGGGGAUAACAGGCUGAUACCGCCCAAGAGUUCAUAUCGACGGCGGUGUUUGGCACCUCGAUGUCGGCUCAUCUCAUCCUGGGGCUGAAGCAGGUCCCAAGGGUAUGGCUGUUCGCCAUUUAAAGAGGUACGCGAGCUGGGUUUAGAACGUCGUGAGACAGUUCGGUCCCUAUCUACCGUGGGCGCUGGAAAUUUGAGAGGAUCUGCUCCUAGUACGAGAGGACCAGAGUGGACGAACCUCUGGUGUACCGGUUGUGACGCCAGUCGCAUCGCCGGGUAGCUAUGUUCGGAAGGGAUAACCGCUGAAAGCAUCUAAGCGGGAAGCCUACCUCAAGAUAAGAUUUCCCUAGGACUUUAUGUCCUCUAAAGAGCCGUUCGAGACUAGGACGUUGAUAGGUUGGAUGUGGAAGCAUAGUGAUAUGUGAAGCUGACCAAUACUAAUUGCUCGUGAGGCUUGACUAUACAACACCCAAGCAGUUG
rnacentral:rRNA from 1 species